UUUAUAGAACCUGGGUCCCUGCCCAAAAGCUGUCUCCACUCACAAGACUUAAAAUUUUCAGCUUUGUUGAGGAUGUAUAAAUGAAUUGUGGAAGUUAUAUAAGGGGAGAUGUACAUUUUUCAUUAGUUUGUUACUGUCCACUGUGUACCGGCCACUGUACUGGGUUAUAAAAUUUAGACUCCAUGGUCCACCGAUACACUCACCCCCUUGAAAAUAUCCCCAACUGCUGUGCCCUUUUUCCUCCAUCCUUCUUGCAUGGCAGGCCCGAGAAUGAGCCUUAUGUGGCAGAACGAGAGGAGCUGAACACUGCUGGAGAAAAUCACACGACUGAGCUGACUGGGAUGCAUUUUGACUUCAUCUCUAACUACAGAAAGGCACUUGGUACUGCUCACCCAUCAUACUGAGUUUUUCUAGUUUCCCACUCCUUAAAAUGAUUUUCCGUCUCUCAAAUUGCCUGCAUCCCGUCUUUCUUCUUGCUGAGCAGAUGACCUCACUCCAGACUUCAUUAGGGAGGAGAACUUACUUGUCUUCCUGUACCUUUCCUAAAAGUCGACCUGCGCUUGCCCGUGUUUCUUCUUCUGCCCGAAUGGAGGACGUGUCCCUCCUCCUAUCAAAGGCCAGUCCUCCCUUUGCGUUCUGGAUUCUUUCUGGUCUCGUUCACUCAAGGUCUUCCUUCAACCCUUUGGUUUUCCCCUUCUGUUCAUGCUUCAGCAGUCUCUUCCUUUCUACUGGAUCCUUCCCAUCACGACAUUAACGUGCUCUGGUGUCGCCCACCUUCUUGACCUCACAUUCUAGACCUUUUCCCUACUGCUCUCUUUUUCUGCUCCCUUCUCAGCAAAAUUUCUUUAAAAUAGUUGCUACGCAUGUCUCUGCUUCUUCUCUCAUCAUUCACUCUUUGGUUUACUCCGAUCUGGAUUCUCUUUCCACCACUCUCCACUGAAAGCACUCUUGUGAGGGUCACCAAUGGAUACUUCUGUUUUCAUUUUAAAUUCACAGGAGCGUUUGGUUCACUUAACCUCUCUCUUCUUUUUGGCUUCCGGACAUCUUUUGCUUCUGGUUUUCCUCUUUCACUCUGGCUGCUCUUUCUUAGUCUCCUUGACUAGUUUAUCCUCCUUACCUCCAAAUAUUAGAGUUUCUCAGCGUUCAGUUCUAAAGCCUCUUCUUUCCUUUUCCUCUCUCAUCUCUCCCUAGGUGAUGUCAUCUGUUGCCCUGGAUUUAAAUAACAUCUUCAUGUGGAUGAAUUGUAAAUCACUAGCCCAGACAUCUCUGAGCCCCGAGACUUGCGUAUCUAACUGCCUUAUAAUAUUUCUGUGUCGAUAGUCCUUAGACAUCUCAAAUUUAACAUGCCCCAAAGAAAACUCAGUUCCCUGUCUCCACCCUCUCCCAGUCUAGUCUUCCGCAUCUUAGUAAACAGCACCACUUUCCACAGCAAUUGCUGAGCCAGUAACAUGGAAUUCAUUCCCGACUCUACCAAAUGCUGUCUACCUCCAAAAUAUACUUAACUCUAUCUCCGCACAUGCCUGGCUCAGAUAGGCACUCUAUAAGUAUUUGUUUAAUGAACAAAUGAGUAGGAAAAAGGUUUAUGUUUGUACGCUUGAGAUGCUCUAGAACAAGUUGCUAGGAGUCCAGUGGAAUGAGAAGUUGGUGUUCUUGUUGCCAAUAGGGUAAGAAGACACUGGAAUUGAAGCCCGCUAAAGAGAAGUAGGGAAAGGAUUUCCCUAGCUUCUAGGGUAGAAGGGAAACUUGCCUGGGAUAAGCGUCAACGUGCCUAGAUCAUUUUGAGUCACUGUAUUGUGGGGUUCAGGAAGGAAUGCUCUCAUAGGAUGGGGAUCAAACCCCUCUAGGCCACACCUUGGGAACUUUCCCCAACGUUCUUCAUAGAAGAGUUUGUAAACUCAGAGAGAGUGAGGUAACCAUAGCCUCUUAAGAAGAGGGGCAGCUCUGAAGAAGGUAGCAGGGAGGUCCGCGGCAGUGUUAGUGGCAAUAGUAAAGCAGGGACACUUUAUAAGAGCCAUUGAUCAUGCGUGAGCUGGGGACCUGCCAGUGCAAGGAGGCUCAGGAAGGGUGACUUCCCAAGCCCUCACGUUCCCAGGUUGUACAGGUGAUUUUACACCACACAGCUUUCGUCAAAAAUGUCUGGGAGAAGCAGCACUCCGUCUCACCCUCUAGGAGAGUCGCUGGACCUAUUGGCAUUAUAAACGCUCCAAGAAAUUCUGCAGUCGAGAAAACGGUUUAACUUUAUUUCACGCGGCAUCUUCCAAACAGGUUUGACCUCAGAGCCCUUUGUCUCGGAAAACCUAUGUCACUGAAUACUCCUGUUCCACAAAACACAGAGGACUGCAAGGAGGCAAUGUUUCCUUAGCCGUGGACGCAGACGCCUGGGUCCCGCUGGGUUCUUUACAAGAGGUCUGCAAUCCCUGUGUGCACCAAACUCUAGAUAAAUAACAGUUCUCAAAUACGCCUGUGCUACUUUUAGAAAAUAUGCGUUGAUACCUGUAAUUAAAAAAACCGAAUUCUUAGUCACUCAAUACUAAACGUGUAACUGAUCCUAUUAUGUGGGAGCAUGAAGAAUAUUUUCUCAUUAAAAGGAGAUCUUUAUAAGAAUAUGUUUGUGGCUCAACUAUCCUUAAGAUGAUUUUGAUCCAAUAAAUAAUAACGGCUGACUUGGUGCUUAAUAUGCUCAGGUCCUACAUUAAGCGCUUUAGAGAGAUUGUCUCAUUCAAUCCUUAGAGCAAGCCUAUGAGGCGGGUAUUCUUACUAUCAUUCUCAUUUCGUGGUUGAGGAAAUAAGGCUUAAAUUAAGUGCAGCCAUUUGUUGAAAGUCACGCAAUAUAAAGUGGUAGAAUAGGGGUUUGAACCCAGGAGGCUGACUCCAGAGUCCAUGUCUUAAGCAUUAGGCAGCAUGGCCCUUAUCAGGGCAACGCGUUCUAAAGAGAAAAGGCACAAGGCACGUGUCUGAGCUUUUUCAGGGAAGAAUGGAGACUUCUGUGUCCUGUUUUAUGGCAGCUAAUUCUGUUCCUGUGUCUUCCUGAGAAAUUGCUCCACGGACUCCUCCUCCGCCAGACCACAUCCUCCCCAUUUCUUUAUUAAUUCCGCAAUUAAAAAAGAAAAACACAAUCCAGCAUUUUGGGGAAAAUGAAGGUGUGAAAGAAGGGACCUUUCCACACCUUUCUUUUUGGCUAAACAAUCAACACUUUUCCCUGGUGAAGUUGCAUCCAUCUCCACAGCGCCUCACCAGCAUUCUUUUUUUUUUUCAAAAAUAAUUUUAAAAAACUUAAAAAAAGAAUUACCAAGAGAAUUACUAAGCAAAACAGUCCUGGGGGAGGGAAACGUCGACGUGCCUUUCCUAGAAGAGGGAACUCGGCACGACUCAGGACUGAGGCCUGUCCCCUCACUUUUGGUAAUGCGGAAUGAUGUGCCCUCUUGUCAGUCAGGGACAAGGCAUGUGAUUUGAGGGAGUGAAGAUAUACCUAUGAACUUAUGGCAAGGCUUCAUAUAUAGAUAUAAUUUUUUUUAAAGCAAAAGUGUAAUGCUGGUACUUCAUGCGUAAAGAUGACAAUCACAACAGUAAAAGUCCUUGACUUUCUGCCCCAUAAAUUAUCUGCUGAGUGCUGCCGCUUAAUGUCUCAGACUGGCUCUGCUUUUGUCUUUCUUUCAGCAUAUGGAAUAGAUUUUUGCUUACACAUGAACAGUGCCACCCCAUCUCAGCAUCCCACCGGGAAAAUGGAACAUAAAAUUGCUUUCCUGAACUGUUUUCCUUUUAGCAAGUUAUUCUCCAGAGUUUUCCCAGCAUGUCUCAAGCAGCACUUUAGUACCUCAACUCCUGAGGUGCAAUAGUAUAUUAAAAAUGAUGUGUUUGGAAAAACACUUACUUAGGAUCCAGACGGGAGUUAACAAUUUAACUCUCUUUUUAAGAGCUGCAUUUAAACAUGUGUAUAUGAAGGUUCUAUGGGGGAAACAAAACUUUAGUCUACUUUAUACUAAUCUAUCCUAUUAAAGAACGAAAAUUCAACCAAGUAAAUUUAAACAUAAUUGUCUUUAUUGAAUGAUUCAUGAAUUGGGUAGCAUCCCAUCUAGGAAAUAGAAGGGAGCUCCAAGAAGUUGUACAAAAUGGAAGGUUUUUAUAGGCAGAAAGAGGGUUGGAGAAGAAGUUCAGAGAAUGGAUUAUUUCCAGCAAGGUCACCUUCCCUUAGGGGAGGAGGGGGUCUUAUCAGACAGGUUACCUCAUUAGUGUUAAUCAGGAAACUCCAGACUGAUUGGUUUAAAAUUCCACUCCUGGGAGAGGCAGAAACUUCAGCUAGAUGAAGUCUUGGUGGGGCUUACCAUAAGUGACUCCAUUUUGGGCCUGUUGCUUCUUUUUAACAAUCCUUAGACCACCCAGAAUGACAAAAUUUUGCAUAAUUUCUUUGAUAGAUUAGUAUAGAGUGCUAUGUUACAUAGCUGUUAAGUAUAUGUAUGCUUGUAUGUUUUCCCAGCUAAAAGCAGGGUGAAAGGAGAAGAGAAAACAGGAGCAGGAACAAAGAUGACUCCAAGCCUUGUUGCAGCUCUGCUACAUGGAAUUAAGGAAAAAGUCCUGAAUCCACUUGAGUCUGCUUUGUGAAAGAGCCAAGUGGACCUGGAGGCAAGGGUGGCAGCCACAGUGAUUUCUGACAGGACUCCAGGGCGACGGUGAAUCUUGAGGGGACAGAAAUCUGGUUGUCCAUCUAGUCUCCCCUUCUCAAGUAGCGAAUCUACCUCCAUUCCAAUCUUGGAAGGUUUUAUUAAGAGAGACUGUGGGGUUUCUACAUUUCCCACAUAGGCUGCUGGCGCAGGUGAAUCCUGGCUGGCCCAGUUGUGAAAUAAGCCCCUUAUUCCUUAAUUUCCAGGGAGUUGGCGUUAUGCUGCAGAAAGAGCACGAUCUUUGAAGCUGGCAAACUUUAGUUCACAGCCAUGCUGGGAGAGGUUUGCGAACUUGAGCAAGUUGCUUCAACUCCCUGAGCCUCCAAAUCCUCAGCUACAAAAUGAGGGCAAGAAUGACAAUCUUAGAGAGUUACUGUGAGGAUCAAAUAUGAUAACUUCCGUAAAAGCACCUAAUACACUGCCUGGAACACAAUUGACUUGAAAGAAACAUCAGUUCUCCUACUUCCCUGGCCCCACCCUCACGCCUCUGAGUCUGGGACCCACUUCCCCACAGGCCCAGCGCCUGUGGCAACUCCCAGCCUCCCAGGCCCCUCAGAGGCACGUCUCCCUGCACCAGACCUUAAGUGACCCUCCAUAACCUUCAGGAAAAUUGACCUCUCCCAGAACUUGUCUCUGCUUUUAGGUAACAAUUAACUCAUAAUGAUUAACUCAGUAUUAUACUUCCUUAACCCAAAGGAAUCACUCUAUUGACAAUUUUGUCAGGUACCAUGGUGGGUCUAUGGGGGAGAUGCAGCAUUUGGGGACAGUUGGAAUCUUGCUGUAAUUAACGGUAACCUCCAGAUGAUACCACUUGCCUUCAGAGCAAGGCUUGGAGUUCAGUUUUUUUUUUUUUUUUCCCGAGGAAGAUUAGCCCUGAGCUAACUACUGCCAAUCCUCCUCUUUUUGCUAAGGAAGACUGGCCCUGAGCUAACAUCCAUGCCCAUCUUCCUCUACUUUAUACGUGGGAUGCCUGCCACAGCAUGGCUUUUGCUAAGAGGUGCCAUGUCUGCACCGGGGAUCCGAACCGGCUAACCCCGGGCCACCGAGAAGCAGAACAUGAGGACUCAACCACUGCGUCACCAGACCGCCCGGCGUUCAGUUUUGAAGUGAAUGGAUUUUUCUCUGAAAUCCCCCAAGGAACAAUCAUGGUCCUUAUGCCCUUAAGGUAACUGCCUCUUCACUGCUGGAAGAGAUUUAGGACCAAUAGAUGGGAUUAUGAUUAUCAGGGACACUCUUUAGCCUUAAAUUAAAAUGCUUUCAAUGGUUGGUGGCUGGCUUACUUGGUCACCUAUGGAACCUUUCAUCUCUCAGUUACUGUUUCAAAUUUGCCCCUGCAAUGGCAUUCCUCCAGGAAGAAGGCAGCCUCUGAUAAGGAAUUCAAAUGGGGUCUCAGCCCUGUCACUUAGCCGUGGACACUCAGCUGCCUGGAAACAUCCUUCCCUCUGGCACAACAGCUCCUUACUGACAGUCUCAGCGGAGAAACUGAAGAGCAAACAAAUUUCAUCUCUAACCCCCCACACUGGCCACCCAGCAGGGUUCUGUCUUUAGGGCAAGGGGGAUGUGAAAUAACUCAGGUCGCUCUCAUCACAGUGUUCUUUCUCCACAGGAGGCUGUCGGCUGCUGAGGGCUGUCAAUCUGACAUACUUCUCUAGUUCUACAGGGAGACGAAAAUACCAUUUAAGUCUUAUUCCAACAUUUCUCAAAUCAUGUGGGUAUUACCAAGCAUGAAAUCAUCAUCUGAAAACUCAAUUUUAUAAAGAGUCGUUUCUUCAGGAAAAAUACGAAAGAACAUUCCUCCUGUUUACUCUGAGAUUUGCUUUUUUUCAAUAGUGUGGUUAUUGUGUCUUUCUUAAUCUUUGGGGAUUAGGCUUCCAUUUUUCACCUAGACUGCAAUUUGCUCAUAAAUCUCUUCAUCUUUGCUUAAUUCAAAUGUUUUGGC
ensembl:lncRNA